GAAAUGCGAUAAGUAAUGUGAAUUGCAGAAUUCCGUGAAUCAUCGAAUCUUAGAACGCACAUUGCGCCCUCUGGCAUUCCAGGGGGCAUGCCUGUCCGAGCGUCAUUACGCACCCUCAAGCCCGGCUUGUGUGAUGGGCCCCGGCGUCUCGUUCGCGAGACGGGCCCGAAAGGCAGCGGCGGCGUCGACCCGAUGAGCCCGAGCGUAUGGGGACUUCUGUCACACGUUCGCGGUGCGGACCGGCGCCUGCUUUGACUUUUCUGAUUAUCCAGGUUGACCUCGGAUCAGGUAGGGAUACCCGCUGAACUUAAGC
rnacentral:misc_RNA from 1 species